ensembl:snoRNA
AGCCUUUGUGUUGCCAAUUCACUUUUGGAAACUAGUGAAUGUGGUGUCAAAAACGGUGGAAGCUUUGCAGCCUUUUCCUGCCCUUGAAUUUUAAUUUGAAUAUUGUUGGUGUAGGAGCUGGAUAAAGUAAGAGUU